UGUAUGAAUAAACUGCCCCGUUUACUGUGAUUGCGGAGGGGCUUGUGUUUGUUUCUGCCUUCAGUUAACUCAUGUUUCUUUGUAAUUUUCCAUAUCUUUUUCUUUUCUUGUUUCUCCAGCCUCUUUAGCUGAAAUAUCUAAUUAAUUAAGUUGGUUAGAGUACUGAGUCAGAAGUUCAAGCCCCACCUGGUUCAGGUAACUUGACCCUUCCCUAGCUCCUGCCUGCCUUCCUGCUGGCAUCCAGUUAUUUUGAGAAGGCAAGCUGCUGCUUACAGGGAGAAUAGUCAGGAAGAAGGCCUGCGGAGGAAGCAUGCAGUAGUGUGGUCUUUGGGAGUGAGACUGUCUGGUUUUGAAUUCUGAUUUUGCUACUUUUUAGUACUCUGACAGCUGGACAAAUUGAUUAAGGAAACAGCAGUAUAUAUUGUUAUACCUAAUGGUCCAAAACACAAGAAUUUAAAUGAAAAAUUUUAGGAAAUUUUGGAAGUAUGUAACACGAAGUAGCAUUCCUUGUAAUUUAGUCAUGGUGUGGCAUAGGUGGAAAGGACUUUCAGUCCCCUCAUUCUGUAGGUCUUAGAACUAGAACCCACAUAUAUGAAAUAAUGUGUCCAGGGUCCUGGAGCUGGUUGCAGCAGAGCCCAGCUGGAAUCCAGGGCUCCUGCUUUCCAGUGCUGUGCUCUUUAGGGUAUGUUUCCUUUGGGUUCUUUCUCUGUCCUGAAAGUUUGUGGGUGGGUGUGUGUGUUUAAUGAUUUUUUACUUAUUUGAAAGAGAAGGGGAGACAGAGGCCUUUUAUCUACCAAUUCACUCCCCCAAGUGGCCACAACAGCUGGGGCUGUGCCAGGGCGAAGCCAGGAGCUAGGAGCUUCAUCCAGGUCUCCCACUUGGGUGUCAGGGACCUAAGUACUCAGGCCAUCCACUGCUGUUUUUCCUAGACUAUUGGCAGGGAGCUGGAUUGGAAGUGGAGCAGCCGGGACCCGAACCAGAGCCCAUGUGCAGGGCUCCACAACCACGGCCCCAUGUCCUAAAAGAUUUGACUUUGGGGACCUGGCACUGUAGUGUAGCGGGUAAAGCUGCUGCCUGCAGUGGUUUGAGUCCCAGCUGCUCCACUUCUGAUCCAGUUCUCAGCUAAGGCCUGGGAAAGUAGAGGAAGAUGGCCCAAGUCCUUGGGCCCCUGCACCCGCGUGGGAGACCCGGAAGAAACUCCUGGCUUCUGGCUUCAGAUCAGCCCAGCUCUGGCCAUUGCAGUCAAUUGGAGAGUGAACCAGCAGAUGGAAGACUUCUCUCUCUCUCCCUCCCUCUCUUUCUCUCCCUUCCCCCCCUCACCUCCCCACCUCUCCUUCUCUCUCUGUGUAAUUCUGACUUUCAAAUAAAUAAAUCUUUUAAAAAUAAAAAGAUUUGACUUUGGGUAAUUUCAAUUGCCUGAAAAUCAUUUUCCAUUUCACCUUUUCAGACAUAUGCUUUUAUUUACUAGCAUUUUAACUAGGACUCCAAGACAAGUCUGACAAAACCUAAAGCCUUGGUUAUUGGCUGUGGUGUCUCCAGGUGACAGUGCCUGUUGGUGUAUCUGAGGACAAGUAAGGUAGAGGCUUCUGAAUAAGGGGCAUUGGAACGCCUGGGUGUUUGGAUAGUCUUUCACCCAUUGUCUUACUUUCAGAAGGAGCACCUGUUCUACCUCCCUCUAGGCCUUCAGUUUUCAGUAUGUAUACCAAUAGCCUGUGCCUUUAUUCAUCGUUUUUUUUUUUUUUUCUUUUUUAACUUAGCAAUUUAGACUGCUUUUGAAAUUGUUUCUAUGCAGUGUAAUUCCAGAAUGGAUUUCAUGUGUUAUAAUUUUCUUAGGUUAAGGAGUUAGUUUGGACAAGAAUUUUCACUUUGUUUGCAGUUAAGCAAUUUUAUGGGUUUAGGGUAAAUUAGGUAGUCAAAUUGUUUAAUUGAGCUGGUGAAAUUUUUUGUCCAUUCUAGCAUUCCCUAAUUUGUGGAGUCAGGGCAGUUGGUGGUUUUCUUAAUUUCCAAAAAAUGAAAAUUGUUAUUUUGAAACUUUAGAAGGAAGCUUUCUUUAAAAUUCCCAACAUAUCUCUCUUGCUGGAAAUAGGGCCACUAAACUUGAAAUAAUUUUUAAAAAUUAAAUGAUACCGUUUGCUUUUUUCACUUGUGUGCCUUGAAAAUUGGUUCUGUAGUAGUUGUUACAGUGCAGCCUUACAUAUUUUUUUAAAAAACUAUCCUUUUCACUAAGUCUUAGAAAUACACAGAUACAGGGAGUACCCUCAUCUAGUUUUACCUUAAGUGAAUCCAUAAUGACUUAUGUUAUUUCUUAUUAGUAACCAUAUAUGUAUAGUGUUUAAGACAAAGAAAGGGAUCGCUGGGUGUACUUUGCCCAGUGAGGGGUAUCGUGAAUAGUUUCCACAGCAUUGCACUUCACAGCUGAGGUGGAUGAUCUUGAAGGGGUCAUUGCUCACAUCAGUGAUUAUUUCUUUUAGGGUAAGUUCUGAGACAUUAUGCUCCUGGUAUUUUCAUUUUAAGGAUUUUAAUUCAUAUUGUUAGUUUACUCUAGAAAGAUUUAACUAAUUUAACCCUUAUUCAUUAAACAAAUAUUUUUUGAACACUUACCAUGUCCCAAGCACUAUUUUCUGUCCCUGGAUACUGCAAUGAAGGGAGGGGGAGGGGGUCUGCCCCCUUGGGAGUUUAUUUUAGUGGGAGGGGAGACAGACUAAAGAACAGCCUUAGUAGGGUAAGUAAGUUACAUAAUUUAUUAGUAGAUAGAGUGGGGACAUAGAAGACAAUGAGAGCAGUUGAGAAGUGGGGAUAGGGUUGCAGUUUUAAAUGGGGUUAAUGGAGACCACACUGAGAAGGUGACAGUUGAACAAAGACUUGGAGGAGGACUGUUCCAGGCAGAGCAGUGGGAGUGGGAGUGUUCCUCAUUCUCUACAUAGAGAGACCAGAACUCCCUAAUAUUGACAAAUCUUUCCAAGUCUCGUAAUAUAAGGCCUCUUGUUUUUAAACUUAAUUUUUUUUUUUUUGACAGGUAGAGUUAGACAGUGAGAGAGAGACAGAGAGAAAGGUCUUCCCUCCGUUGGUUCAUCCCCCAAAUGGCUGUUAUGGUUGGCGUGUGCCUAUCCAAAGCCAGGAGCCAGGCGCUUCCUCCUGGUCUCCCAUGGGGUGCAGGGCCCAAGCACUUGGGCCAUCCUCCACUGUCUUCCCGGGCCACAGCAGAGAGCUGGACUGGAAGAGGAACAACCGGGACAGAACCUGGCGCCAUGUGGGAUGCCAGCACUACAGGUGGAGGCUUAACCUACUGUGCCACAGUGCCGGCCACUGACCCAUUUUUUUAUAUUGGACAAUAAUCCUUUUUUUAAAAAAAAGCUUAAGAGCUCUUUAUUAAGAACAUGUCCCUGUGGGGAAUUAACAUUUGUAUUUCUCAGUUUGUUGUUGACCUUUCAGAUUUCUUUUAUCAAGGUAGUGUUUGGCACAGCAGUUUAAACACUUCUUGGGAUGUCCCAAUCCCAUAUCCGAGUGCUUGGGACUAACUCAGACCCAGACUGUGAUCUGGAAUUAUAACCCCAGCAGUGGCAGGUUUACCCACUGUGCCAUAACACUAGUGUCUGGGAGAGGUGUUGUUGUUUUUUUUUUUUUUUUUUUUUUUUUUUUUUUUUUGGACCCAGCAGGUAAGGCCUCUACCUUUGACGGCAUCAUCCCAUAUGGGCGCUGGUUUGACACACAGCUGAUCCACUUCCAAACCACCUCUCUGCUAAUGUGCCUAGGAAAGCAGUGGAGGACAGCCCAACUUUUGGGCUCCUGUACCCAUGUGGGAGAUCUGGAAGGAGCUCCGUGCUCCUGCCUCAGCCCCGGCAGUUGUGGUCAUUUGGGGAAUGAACGAGCGGAUGGAAGAUCUCUGUUACUCUGCCUCCCUCCCUCCCUCCCUCUCUUCCUUCAUUUAUUUAUUAUUUGAAAGGCAGAGAGAGAGAGAGAGAGAGAGAGAGAGGGGUCUUCUGUCUGCUGGUUCAUUUCCCAAAUGACCUCAAUGGCCAGAGCUGAGUUGAUCCAAAGCCAGGAGCUAGGAGCUACUUCUGGGUUUCCCACACGGGUGCAGGGGCCUGAGCACUUGGGCCAUCUUCUACUGCUUUCCCAGGCCAUAGCAGAGAGCUGGAUCAAAAGGGAGCAGCUGGGACUCGAACUGGGAGCCCUAUAAGAUUCCAGCACUGCAGGCAGCGGUUUUACUCACUGUGCCACAGCACCAGCCCAACUCUGCCUUUCAAAUAAAUAAAAAUAAAUAAAUAUUUAAUAAAAAAAGAACUCUCACUGUGCAAAAAAAUGGUUAACAAGUAUCUAGCUAUGCUUAUAAUCUUAUAAUUUCUGAUUGAAAUUAAGAAUCUAUCAGGUUUUUAAAGAAUAUUUUUAUUUGAAAGGUGGAGUUACAAAGAGGCGGGGGCGGGGGGGACUUCCAUUCACUGGUUCACUCCCCAAAUGGCCUCAAUGGCUGGAGCUGGGCCGAUCUGGAGCCAGGAACUUCUUCCAGGUCUCCUGUGCGGGUGCAGGGGCCCAAGGAUUUGGUCAAUCUUCCACUACUUUCGCAGGUCACAGCAGAGAGCUGGAUCAGAAGAGGAGCAGGGGCCGGCACUGUGGCAUAGCGGGUAAAGCUGCUGCCUGCAGUGCCAGCAUCCCAUAUGGGCACCAGUUCGAGACUCUUCGAAUCCAGCUCUCUGCUAUGGCCUGGGAAAGCAGUAGAAGAUGGCCCGAAUCUUUGGGCCCCUGCACCUGUGUGGAGACCCAGAAAAAAAUACUGUCAGUUAAACUGGGAUACCAUUGACUAAGAUGUGUCUAAAUUUCAGAGAUGUAAAAUUGCCAGAGAUAUUCAUAUAUGAAUCAGUGAGGUACAGGAAUUCCAGUGAUGUGUGGAAUUGACAGCAUUAUUGUCUUUUAGUAAGAUUGUUAUGGAAAAAUCAAGUAUACAGAAAAUAGAGAAAACAGCAAAAUAAACUGUUUUCAUCUUUCAGCUUCAACAGUUCAACUAUGGCCAAUGUUUUUUGAUCUUCCAUUUCUCUUCACCCUUUUUUGAAGCAAAUCCCAGGCAUCAUAAGACAUGCAGUAUUAAUUUUCAAAACCACGAUGUACUAUAAUCACACGUUAAUUUUUUAAAAAUUCUUAGUAUCAAAUAUCCAGUCUUCCAAUUUCCCUGCUAAUUUUGUUUCAGUUAGGAUCUAUAACGUCCUUAUAUUGCCAUUGUUUGAAAAGUCUCUCUAGUCUUUUAGUGUGGUUCUUUGUGGUUCUUUUCUAUGAAAAUUUGUUUUUGCUACACUACUUCAUAGGUGGUGGUAUGUUCUUCCAUCAGGAGGCUUCUGCUGUCUGGUCUUCUCUUUUUGUUGAAUGUUAGUGGCUGUUGAGCAUUGCAGUCCAUCUUUUUUUUUUUUAAGAUUUCAAAAUGACAGCAUACCAUUAUUCCUUAAUGUAUUGAUUGUAAUACUACAACAGUUGUGCUUGCACCAAAAUCACCAGGUUGUGGUGGGAGGGUUCUAAGCAAGUUAGGGGAGGACAUGAGUAGGGGCCUGGAGGGUGCAGGGUACAUCAGGCUGCUGGAGAGCAUUGUGCUUUAGCCCACGGAGGAGGGGGAGGGGAAGGGCAAAUGCACCAAGGUCCCCACUUGUUCCUGCUGUUCUCAGCACCCUGGGGCUGCAAGCAUCUGGGCAGAUCUGCCCUUUAUUGCUGCCCACCAGCAUUCAACACCCUGACCCCAGCACUAGCACCACAGGUGGAUCCAGGGCAGGGAUAAGGGCAGGAGUGGAACAACAUUGCUUAGAAAGAUUCAACCAGAACCCAGUGACUUGUGCUCAGUUCUCUUCACUUCCUACAACCGAGUACAUGGGUCACAGGUGGAGGGUGCAGUAGGACAUGAGCGUGCCCCUCUGUGCCUCCAGCACACACGUGCACACAGGACGGUGGUGUCUGCAGCAUCACAGGUCAUGCAGGGUGUGGGGAAGCAGAGGUUCACACACACAUAGAUGCCACAGCGGGUGCCAGACAGAGAAUGCCCCUGAAUGUUCACAGCUGUACAUGGCCCCCUCCCUCCCCAGUCCCCCCGCCCCCCUUUCUUGCCAUCCUCCAUGCAGGGAAACUAUUGCUUUGAGAGAGCCACCCUGGGGGCUGCUCUGCCAAGCACUCCCCUUCCCAUCCCCCCACAUCUGCAAGACAUAGGGCAGUGAGAGUAGGCACCUCCCCACCAGGCUUCUGGAGCUUGGAGCUGGGGAAGGGGGCAGGAGACUUCAUCCUCUGUCUUUCCUCUAACACUUCCCGAACCCCUGCCAAACCCACUCCAGCCAGAACCCUCCUCACCCCUUAAAACACACAUACAAAGCUGAGUUAUCCAAGAAUACAAGGAGAUUGCCUGGGAUGGGUGUGGAGAUGGGACAAGGGGAGACUGGAAGCAGAGGGGACCCCUCCCCCCCAGCAUGGGGUAAGACUGGCGCAAUAGCUACUUUAGUACAGUUGGAGAGGGUUCCCAGAGUGAGGGAUGGGGAUGGGAGGGAAGGCUCUCCCUAGCUUCCUGGGGGCAAAGUCAAGCUUCUGGGUUCCCCAGGGAAAGGGCCUAGCAGGGGUGAUUGACAGCCAGAGCAGAUCCUUUGUCACUGCCACCCUCUGCCCUCCCAAAUGCAGUGAUAGUGUCCCCCUCACACCUAAGUGGGCAACAGCUGCCUCAGAGUCAGUACCUUCAGGUAAUUCAAAAAGCAGGUCUUCCCACCCCGGCUUCCUCCAGUCUUUGCAUUUGGUCGCUUCUCUAGGGGUUGGAUCGGGAAGAGGGAGUCCCCACAUCAGAGCCUUUCCUCUCCACCUCCCUCUUCCCAGGCCACUAGGCUUGGUCCUCAAAGAUUCCUUACCUCUGCUCCUGCCCAACUCAGGUCAAGGCCACGGAGGGCCUGAGCCACCACAAUUAGAGGGGAAGGGGCUGCUUUGUUUCUGUCCCUCCUUAAAAGGUAGGGUUUCAGACUAGGUGAGAUAUGGGCAUACUGGCUGGCCCCAGGCGUAGGGUUUCCUUUUGCCAUUGGUAGGGGAGGUGGGGAUGAAUACUAUGUGUGGGGAGGGGGUGAGAAGUGGCUGAGGGGAAGGAGGAAGAGUCCCCCCCACUAGAGUGCAGUUGCUGGAGCCAUUUGGACAAAAAAACUCAGUGCGUAAGAAACAGAGUGCGGCCAGUGCCACGGCUCACUAGGCUAAUCCUCCGCUUGCGGCGCUGGCACACCAGGUUCUAGUCCCGGUCAGAGCGCCGGAUUCUAUCCUGGUUGCUCCUCUUCCUGUCCAGCUCUCUGCUGUGGCCCGGGAGUACAGUGGAGGAUGGCCCAAGUGCUUGGGCCUUGCACCCAUAUGGGAGACCAAGAGAAGCUCCUGGCUUCGGAUCAGCGCGGUGCGCUGGCCACAGCGGCCAUUGGGGGGUGAACCAACAGAAAAGGAAGACCUGAGGUUUGGGGGUUAUAGCUAUAGAAAUGUUCACUCUGGCCUCACCCACCCUACCCCCAGCCUCUUCUCUUCCAGUCCAGGGAGCAGGAAGGUGCUUGUUGGGGGCCGACAGCCAUGGAAUUUUUCCUUUGUUUACAUGUUGAAGGCAAAAGUGAGCUGGACUUACAGUCAAGAUGGACAGGGGUGAAGAAGUAAGAAGGGUAUGGCUGAUGCUGGAGAGGAAGGAAGACCCUCCUCGGUCCCUCUGUAUCAACUCUCCCACCCCUCACAGCACCAGAGGAGAAGCGCCCUCCCUGCACACCCCUCUCCCCGUCCCUGCUAUACAUUCAGUGGUUUUCAGCAGUCCUAUGCCUCAGUGGGCCACGGGCAGGGCAGGUGGCCCAUCAGUCUCAGCUGGACAGUGACAGUGACCUGGGUCUGUUGGUCCAUCCCAGGACCCACAGUUUAUGCCUUUUUUUUUUUUUUUUUUCUGAAGGAUAGAACACAACCCUAGCAAAGCCACUGCCCAUGCAGAGACAUCCCCCAAAAGUCAGAAACCAAAAACUGGCUCUUUUCAUCUCACCCCCUGAUUCACACCUCUGUUUCCCCGUCUCCUCUGUAGCCCUCACUGUCUGCUUUGCAGGGACCUGGGGCUGCUCCCAGGCUCCUUACUUGAAAUAGGCCUUUCCACCAAAGUGCUUAUUCCUUGAAGCAAGUGCUUUAGAGCUGCAGGGGGAGGGGGCAGAGGGAGGCUGAAGGGAAGGAUAGGCUCCCUCCCCGCCCUACCCCUGCAGAUUGGGGGGCAUUCUGCCUCUUUUACUUCUCCACACCCGUUUAUGUCAGAUUUUUAAAAAAUUGUAACAUUAAAAUAUAUAUACAGUAGCCUUGAGAAUGGUCAGAAUGCUUCAAAAAACACUAGGGGCCAAGGAGCCCAUGGGUGAGGGGUGGUGGGAUUUACUUUGGCAUAUGGAGAGGAGACCACUCGCCCCACAAGCCUCCUCGCAGUUAUGUGAGGAGGGCCCGGGGAUUCUCCACAGCCUCGCCCAGCACUGCCGACAGAGUGCCAAGGAGGUGGCAGGGAGCAGAGAGCUCCCCGAAGUCUCACCUAGCAAACAAGGGGGUUCCCGACAAGCACUCCGAUGUUUUCUGUCACUGCCAAGCAGUGACAAAGAACACGACUGACACCCGAGAGUCUUCACUAGAGGAGGACCCGUCUCCCACUCCUCUUUUGCCCCCUUGCCCCCACCUAGUUUUCAGCACCAAGAUGGGAGUGUGGAAUGGGAAGAUCUGAGGGAGAGAGAAUUGAAGUUGGGGGGGCAGGCUUUGUAGAACCAGCAGGGUGGGGGUUGGAGCUGCAGCCUUUAAGAAAGGUUACAUUGAUUGUUGUAGAGGAGGGGACAGGGCGUGAGUGGGGGGGUGGACAAGAGGGGUAUCACAAGGCCCUUUGGCUUUGAAAAUAAAAACUAAAAGCUGCACAAUCCUUUUUACCAAUAAUAAUCAUUUGGAAGCCUUGAAAUGGUUUAGGAACUGAGGGUUGGGAAGCAAGACACAGAGACAGGGAUGAAGAGGGACCAUGCGUGAAUAAGGACUUGGGCAGACACCCCAGGCUUCGGCAACCAGUAUGAGAUAUGGUUGAGGGCAUCUGCUGGGGUGGGGGGCAGUCCUGGGGAUGCCAGUUCCGCCCCCAGCCCAACCUUGGCAAGGAGGACACAACUGGAACAUGGCUAAGAUCACAAAUAAAGCAAGCUGGAGUCGCGGAGGGAAGGAGGCCACAGGAGCCCUGGGGAGCCCUGCGCUGUGUAAACGAUCCCUGUCCAGUUCUCAGGGGCCAAUACUGACCGGCAGCCAAACCAGGCAGAUGCACUGUGGACAUGACCUCUAUUCAAGUUCUGGGUCCUAGACACAGAUUUUAACAGACAGAUUUUAACAUUUGUGGCUUAAUCUAUUGAAAUUGGGCCCCCCCAUAGUUUAUGAAAGUACAAUUUAUAUACCGUAAAACUCACCUAUAUCAAGUCUUUAAUGGGUUUUAGUAUGUUCAGUUUUGUAACCAUCAUCACUACAAUAUAGGUUGAGAAUGUUUUCAUUAUUCCACAAAGAAACCAUGUACCCACUAGCAAUCAUUCUCCGUGGCCUCCUCCUGGCCCCUCCAAUUCCAGGCAGCCACUGAUCUGUCCCUGUGGAGUUGCCUAUCCUGGACAGUUCAUAUAAAUGGAAUCACGCACUGUGAGGUCCUUUUGACUGGGUUCUUUUACUUGGCAUAAUAUUUUUAAUAUUCAUGCAUGUUAAUAGCAUGUGUAGUUGUUACUUUUAUAGAUUGCUCCUUUUUUGGCCAAUUACAUUCUCUUCAGGGUGACUCGUGAGACGUCUUUGAUAGCUCUUUUACUGUUUGAUAUGACAGAAAGUCCAGUCUCAUCUGUUACAUUCUCAGUACCAGACCAGGAACUAGCUGUUUCUUCAAAAAGUCUUUUUGUGUGAAAUGGUUUCGGAGAUCACAACCUGGUUCUGAGUUAGUCAUUGUGUCUUGGGCCUUUUCUGGAACUAUGGAUAGGAAAUAAGUGUUUUUUCUUUUUUUUUUUUUUAAAGAUUUAUUUAUUAUUUAUUUGAAAGUCAGAGUUUCACAGGAGAGAGAGAGGGGGAGAGAGAAGAGAGGGAGAUCUUCCAUCCGCUAGAUCAUUCCCCAGUUGGCUGCAACAGCCAGAGCUGUGCCAAUCUGAAGCCAGGAGCAUCCUCCAGGUCUCCCAUGUGGGUGCAGGGGCUGAGGACUUGGACCAUCUUCUACUGCUUUCCCAGGCCACAGCAGAGAGUUGGAUCGGAAGAGGAGCAGCCGGGACUCGAACCGGCGCCCAUAUGGGAUGCCAGCACUGCAGGCAGUGGCUUUACCCACUAUGCCACAGCGCCGGCCCCAAAGUCUUUAAAAAGAAAAUUUCAAGUUGUACUUAAAAGUCAAAAUAUAGGACCCAGAGACUUUUAACUUUGAUUAUAUUUCGCUUCCCUUGUCGCACACUUGAAAACCCCAGUUCUCCGCAGCUUCUCUGUGGUUACUUCUUUUCUUUUCCACAUAGAUAUAUACAACAGACUCAGAAUGACAAUGCCAGACCUACUGUCAACAAUAUGAUGACUAAAGAAAGUUAACAAUUGUUUUUCUUAGGGUAUGUUUCACUAGGGAUGUAGAAUCUAUUACUGAGUUCUAUAGUUGAGGGGACCAGUUCCUGUCUGUGUAAUUAUAGUACCACCUGGUUAUACAUUUUUGUUUGCUUUCGUUUUACAUCAUAUUUGGCUUUUUACAAAUUUCAAAUCUUGCAGAAUUACUUGGGUUAUCUAUGUUCAAAGCUUGAAAUGAAUAUGUAAUUUGUGCUUGUUGGUUUCUUCUUAGAAUAGGGUUUGUGAAGCAUGCUAUGAGUAAGACAAAAGAGAAGAUGGUUAUUAGAAUAAUGUAUGGAGUAGGCUUCCUCCUUUAUAUCUAAAAAGAAAAGACUUAUCAGCUCCUGCUGGUUAUCUUAGGAAAAUGUAAGUAUACAUCUUCAGAUUUUUUUCAGAAAAGCUGGAAUUUUAUGUAAAAUCCUCCUGUAAAAUCUUUAUAUAAUCAUACUGAUUGUUUAGUGUUCACAGUUUUAAGUAUUAUGAACUAAGUUAAGAGACAGGAUUUGGCUUGUUGCCUUCAGUUUUUAAUCUGGGUUGAAGAUGGAGCAUAAAGUAGGUCUGUUGUCUUAAGCUCUUGGUCCCAAGUGAUAGCAACAAGCACAAUUUGGGUACAAAAAAAUUGAAAUCCAUGUGUAAUCUUUUCAUUGUUUUUAUUUUCCAUGAUUUUUUUUUUUUUUUUUUUUUUUUGGACAGGUAGAGUGGACAGUGAGAGAGAGAGAGAGAGAGAAAGGUCUUCCUUUGCCGCUGGUUCACCCUCCAAUGGCUGCCGCGGCUGGCGCGCUGUGGCCGGCGCACCACGCUGAUCCGAUGGCAGGAGCCAGGUACUUCUGGUCUCCCAUGGGGUGCAGGGCCCAAGGACUUGGGCCACCCUCCACUGCACUCCCUGGCCACAGCAGAGAGCUGGCCUGGAAGAGGGGCAACCGGGACAGAAUCCGGCGCCCCGACCGGGACUAGAACUCGGUGUGCCGGCUCCGCAAGGCGGAGGAUUAGCCUAGUGAGCCGUGGCGCCGGCCUCCAUGAACUUUUUGAAGUACCUACAUCUUUGUGUGUGAGAUCUAAUUUGGAGUAUAGUCACUUGAAGAUUAGAAAUGGAUUAUAUUAAUUGAUUUAUUUAAGAUUUAUGUAUUUGAAAGAUUAACAGGGAGAGACAGAGAUCUUCCAUAUGCUGCUUUACUCCCCAAAUGGCCUGAAAUAGGGCUGGGCUGGGUUGAAAACCAGGAGCUUGGAACUCCAUCUGGGUCUCCUACAUGGGUUGUAGGAACCCAAAUACUUGGGCUGCCAUCCAGGACACAAACCAGCACUUUGAUAAGUGGUGCUGUCAUACCAAGCAGUGGCUUAAGUGACUGUGCCACAAUGCUCUCUCCAUUAUAUUUAGUUAUUUGUGUAUAAAUCCUGAUAAACUUAAGUACUCAAAAAAAUUUUUUUUAUCUGAAAGGCAGAGUUACAGAGAGAGAGAGAUCAGUUAUCUUCUUUCUGCUUGUUCACUCCCCAAGUAGCUGCAAUGGGUAAGACUGGACCAGACAGAAGCCAGGAGAUUCUUCCUGGUCUCCCACAUGGGUACAGGGGCCCAAGGACUCUGCUGCUUUCCCAGGAGCAUUAGCAGGGAGCUAGAUUAGAAGCAGAGCAACUGAGACACAGACUGGCACCCAUAUGGGAUGCUAACACAGGUGGCAGGCUGAAGCACCAGUCCUCCAAAUUUUAAUUUUGAUACUGGCAAACCCUAGCUCCAGUUUAGUAUUUCUUAAUAUUUAUUUCCAGUUUUAUUUGAAAAGCAGAGAGACAGAGAUCUUCCAUCUGCUGGUUUACUCCCUAACUGUUUACAACAGCCAUGACUGGGCUAAGCCAAAGUGGAGCCCAGAACUCCAUCCAGGUCUCCUAUGUGGUUAGUAGCAGUGUAAAUACUUGAGCCAUCAUCUGUUGCCCUCCCAGGAUGUGCAUUAGUAGGAAGCUGAAUCGAAAGUGGAGUAGCUGAGGCUUGAACCAGGCAUUCCAAGCAGCUGCUUAACCACUGCAGCAAGUGCUUGCCCCUCCAGUUAGAAUUUGAAUUGAGAAACGGACUACUUGGGGGCCGGCGCCGUGGCUCACUUGGCUAGUCUUCCGCCUGAGACGCCGGCAUCCCAUAUGGGCACCGGGUUCUAGUCCUGGCUGCUCCUCUUCCAGUCCGGCUCUCUGCUGGGGCCCGGGAGGGCAAUGGAGGAUGGCCUAGGUGUUUGGGCUCCUGCACCAGCGUGGGAGACCAGGAGGAGGCACCUGGCUUCUGGCUUCGGAUCGGCGUAGUUCCGGCUGUGGUGGCCAUUUGGGGGGGUGACCCAACGGAGGGAGGACCUUUCUUUCUGUUUCUCUCUCACACUGUCUGUAACUCUACCUCUUAAAUAAAUAAAUAAAAUCUUAAAAAAAAAAAAAAAGGACUACUUGAAUAUGUCUUCAUACAUAUUCAUUACAGUUUUCAAGUUAAAUUCAGAUAAAAUUA